GAAAUGCGAUAAUUAAUGUGAAUUGCAGAAUUCAGUGAAUCAUCGAGUCUUUGAACGCACAUUGCGCCCCCUGGUAUUCCGGGGGGCAUGCCUGUCCGAGCGUCAUUGCUGCCCUCAAGCACGGCUUGUGUGUUGGGCUUCCGUCCCUGGCAACGGGGACGGGCCCAAAAGGCAGUGGCGGCACCAUGUCUGGUCCUCGAGCGUAUGGGGCUUGUCACCCGCUCCCGUAGGUCCAGCUGGCAGCUAGCCUCGCAACCAAUCUUUUUAACCAGGUUGACCUCGGAUCAGGUAGGGAUACCCGCUGAACUUAAGC
rnacentral:misc_RNA from 1 species